rnacentral:rRNA from 1 species
UACGAAGGGUGCAAGCGUUACUCGGAAUUACUGGGCGUAAAGCGUGCGUAGGCGGUCUGUUAAGUCCGUUGUGAAAGCCCUGGGCUCAACCUGGGAAUUGCAGUGGAUACUGGCAGGCUAGAGUACGGUAGAGGAUGGUGGAAUUCCCGGUGUAGCGGUGAAAUGCGUAGAGAUCGGGAGGAACACCUGAGGCGAAGGCGGGCUACUGGGCUGAUACUGACGCUGAGGCGCGAAAGCGAGGGGAUCAAACGGG